CUGCCUCUCUCGCUCGCUCUGCCUCUAUCGCUCGCUCUGCCUCUAUCGCUCGCUCUGCCUCUCUCUCGCUCGCUCUGCCUCUCUCUCGCUCGCUCUGCCUCUCUCUCUCUCUCAUACACAGCUGUCUCACACAGUGCUCUCUCUUUCCCUCAUAUUUGCUCACAGAGACUUAGCGGCCUCUGUUUCUUUCACACUUUAUGAUAUUCUUUCUCUUUCUUUUACGCCUCUCUUGUAGACACACACACACACACACACACACACACACACACACACACACACACACACACACACACACACACACACACACACACACACACACACACACACACACACACACACACACACACACACACACACACACACACACACACACACAGACACACACCCACACACAGACACACACACACACUGACAGACAGACACGCACAGAUACGCACACACACGCACAGAUACACAGACACGCACACACAGAUACACACGCACGCACACACACACGCACGCACACAUACACACAGACACGCACACAUACACACACACACACACAGAUACACACGCACGCACACAUACAGACACACACACACAGACACACACACAGAUACACACACACACACGUUGAGGUACGGCCUAUAUGAAUUGCAGCUUCUUUUGAAGCACAUGUUGAGCCCCAGAAACGAACAUGUACCACUGUAAAUACCUUGGUUUAUUAUCGAGGAAGAAUACCUGUGUGGAACAUUAGGCUUCUUUCUACAUUAUGCAAAGGCACGAUUGACACAUUUACAGUGAAAAUUGUACACUGUCUCUUUAAAAAACAAACGUCAGGUUUGUGAUGAUGUCAUGCCAGAGAUCUGUCAUUCAUUCAUUGCUAUGAUCAUUGAGCUCCUGAAGGAGCUACAUUUAUAUCUGUGCCCCCCUUCCAAAAUGUUUGGAUAUACUGUUGUUAUAGUUACCAUCUAGCCAAUGAGGUAACGUGACCGAACGAAGUCUAAAUAAAUGGUUGUCGACGUGCAAGUCGUUUUAGAACGGCCCACGACCGGGUCUAUGAAUAUAACAUGCGAUCCGUCCGAGGAAGCUUAAAAUGGUGCGUUGGUAAUAUGGGUCAGAUCUAGUGUUGGUCCGGGGUAGUGUUGGUCGGGGUAGUGUUGGUCCAGGGUAGUGUUGGUCCAGGGUAGUGUUGGUCCAGGGUAGUGUUGGUCCAGGGUAGUGUUGGUCCAGGGUAGUGUUGGUCCAGGGUAGUGUUGGUCCAGGGUAGUGUUGGUCCGGGGUAGUGUUGGUCCGGGGUAGUGUUGGUCCGGGGUAGUGUUGGUCCGGGGUAGUGUUGGUCCGGGGUAGUGUUGGUCCGGGGUAGUGUUGGUCCGGGGUAGUGUUGGUCCAGGGUAGUGUUGGUCGGGGUAGUGUUGGUCCGAGGUAGUGUUGGUCCAGGGUAGUGUUGGUCCAGGGUAGUGUUGGUCCAGGGUAGUGUGGGUCGGCGGUAGUGUUGGUCGGCGGUAGUGUUGAUCCAGGGUAGUGUUGGUCCAGGGUAGUGUUGGUCCAGGGUAGUGUUGGUCCAGGGUAGUGUUGGUCCAGGGUAGUGUUGGUCCAGGGUAGUGUUGGUCCAGGGUAGUGUUGGUCCAGGGUAGUGUUGGUCCAGGGUAGUGUUGGUCCAGGGUAGUGUGGGUCGGCGGUAGUGUUGGUCCAGGGUAGUGUGGGUCGGCGGUAGUGUUGGUCCAGGGUAGUGUUGGUCCAGGGUAGUGUUGGUCCAGGGUAGUGUUGGUCGGCGGUAGUGUUGGUCUGAAAGGAGAAGCUCACGCUCUGGAGCUCUGUGUGUUGGCGGAAAGGAGAAGCUCGCCCUCUGGAGCCCUGUGUGUUGGCGGAAUGGAGAAGCUCGCGUUCUGGAGCCCUGUGUGUUGGCUGAAAGGAGAAGCUCGCGCUCUGGAGCUCUGUGUGUUGGCGGAAAGGAGAAGCUCGCCCUCUGGAGCCCUGUGUGUUGGCGGAAUGGAGAAGCUCGCGUUCUGGAGCCCUGUGUGUUGGCUGAAAGGAGAAGCUCGCGCUCUGGAGCCCUGUGUGUUGGCUGAAAGGAGAAGCUCGCGCUCUGGAGCUCUGUGUGUUGGCGGAAAGGAGAAGCUCGCCCUCUGGAGCCCUGUGUGUUGGCGGAAUGGAGAAGCUCGCGCUCUGGAGCCCUGUGUGUUGGCUGAAAGGAGAAGCUCGCGCUCUGGAGCCCUGUGUGUUUUAUUAAGAUUUCAAAUAACACACCGGUAGACGGUCUGUGUAUCACAUGACCUGACCUUACCACCUGUCCUACAGCCAAGUAGGGCGUUUACCCUCCCAAAGUGUCUCAUUUUAACAUUCGAAACCACCUCACAAACCCAUAUUUACUUGGUUCAGUCCUGGACCUCUCGCUGUGUCUCAGAACAUUCCAUUUGACAUUAAAGGGGUUUGUUUGUUUAUUAAAUUCCCACCCCAAACAUCAUGGGAGUACCUUUUUUUUAUAUAGUUGUUUGGAUGUUCAUUUGGAAAUGUUCAUUUGCACUUUUGCAAAUUUUAAAAGCCAUUAUAACGAAGUCUUUGCGUCCCAAAUGUCUUCCUAUUCCCGAUAUAACGUACUACUUUCAACCCAGAGUAGAUUAUAGUAGUAGUACACUAUGUAGGGGAAACGGUGCCAACCAAUGACGUGUGUCAACCCUGGAUUGCUGAUGUUCUGUCGAGGCCGAUGAGAGGCUUUGAAGAAGCAUUCCCCCAAUACGAAUGGAAUUCUAGAUUAUUUCAAUAAAAUGUUGCUAGGACAAUAUUACAUGUGUUUUAAGUAUGUAUUUGUUGUCAUGGGGACAGUAACAUUAGUAUAAAAAAAUAUAUAUUUAAGACUAUUUUUUUGCAAUUUUUUAUUUUUAUGUUCACAGGUAAUUUAACAGUCUGCAUUAAGGUGUCUUUCAUAUAAUAAUAAUAAUAAUAUAAUAUAUAAUUAUAUAAUAAUAUAACUUGGCAAAAACACAAGUAGACGUUAAUAAAUAGCUUCCAAUGGAUGGGGACCAUGAAGAUGGCUGUGUGGUGGCUUCAAUGGAGGGGGACCAUGAAGAUGGCUGUGUGGUGGCUUCAAUGGAGGGGGACCAUGAAGAUGGCUGUGUGGUGGCUUCAAUGGAGGGGGACCAUGAAGAUGGCUGUGUGGUGGCUUCAAUGGAGGGGGACCAUGAAGAUGGCUGUGUGGUGGCUUCAAUGGAGGGGGACCAUGAAGAUGGCUGUGUGGUGGCUUCAAUGGAUGGGGACCAUGAAGAUGGCUGUG